rnacentral:snRNA from 1 species
GUGCUCUCUUCAGCAGCACAUAUACUAAAAUUGGAAUGAUACAGAGAAGAUUAG